AUUGAACGCUGGCGGCAGGCCUAACACAUGCAAGUCGAACGGUAACAGGAAGAAGCUUGCUUCUUUGCUGAGGGGAGGCGGACGGAUGGGUAAUGACCGGGCAACUGCGUGAUGGAGGGGGCGGAGAACUGGGGACGGUUACUAAUACCGCAUAACGUGGCAAGACGAAGGAGGGGAACCUCUGGGGCUCUUGCCAUCGGCUGUGCCCAGAUGGGAUUAGCUAGUAGGUGGGGUAACGGCUUACCUAGGCGACGAUCCGUAGCUGGUCUGAGAGGAUGACCAGCCACACUGGGACUGAGACACGGUCCAGACUCCUACGGGAGGCAGCAGUGGGGAAUUUUGGACAAUGGGGGCAACCCUGAUGCAGCCAUGCCGCGUGUAUGAAGAAGGCCUUCGGGUUGUAAAGUGCUUUCGGCGGGGAGGAAGGGAGUAAAGUUAAUACCUCGGCUCAUUGACGUUACCCGCAGAAGAAGCACCGGCUAACUCCGUG
rnacentral:rRNA from 1 species